GGGGCUCGGGCUCAGUGGUAGGGCGCUUGCCUUGCAUGCAUGAGACCCUGAGUUCGAUACCCAGCACCA
rnacentral:tRNA from 1 species